GAGCGGCAGCGCGGGGGCAACCCUGGCGGCGAGCGGCGAACGGGUGAGUAACACAUCGGAACGUACCCUGUCGUGGGGGAUAGCCCGGCGAAAGCCGGAUUAAUACCGCAUACGACCUGAGGGUGAAAGCGGGGGAUCGCAAGACCUCGCGCGAUAGGAGCGGCCGAUGGCGGAUUAGCUAGUUGGUGAGGUAAAGGCUCACCAAGGCGACGAUCCGUAGCUGGUCUGAGAGGACGACCAGCCACACUGGAACUGAGACACGGUCCAGACUCCUACGGGAGGCAGCAGUGGGGAAUUCUGGACAAUGGGGGCAACCCUGAUCCAGCCAUUCCGCGUGAGUGAAGAAGGCCUUCGGGUUGUAAAGCUCUUUCGGCAGGAACGAAACGGUGGAGGCUAAUACCUUUCAUCAAUAACGGUACCUGAAGAAGAAGCACCGGCUAACUACGUGCCAGCAGCCGCGGUAAUACGUAGGGUGCGAGCGUUAAUCGGAAUUACUGGGCGUAAAGCGUGCGCAGGCGGUUCUAUAAGACAGAUGUGAAAUCCCCGGGCUUAACCUGGGAACUGCGUUUGUGACUGUAGGACUGGAGUGUGGCAGAGGGGGGUGGAAUUCCACGUGUAGCAGUGAAAUGCGUAGAGAUGUGGAGGAACACCGAUGGCGAAGGCAGCCCCCUGGGUUAACACUGACGCUCAUGCACGAAAGCGUGGGGAGCAAACAGGAUUAGAUACCCUGGUAGUCCACGCCCUAAACGAUGCGAACUAGGUGUUGGAGAAGGAGACUUCUUUAGUACCGUAGCUAGCG
rnacentral:rRNA from 1 species